UACGUAGGGUGCAAGCGUUGUCCGGAAUUAUUGGGCGUAAAGAGCUCGUAGGCGGUUUGUCGCGUCUGCUGUGAAAACGCGAGGCUCAACCUCGCGCCUGCAGUGGGUACGGGCAGACUAAAGUGCGGUAGGGGAGAUUGGAAUUCCUGGUGUAGCGGUGGAAUGCGCAGAUAUCAGGAGGAACACCGAUGGCGAAGGCAGAUCUCUGGGCCGUUACUGACGCUGAGGAGCGAAAGCGUGGGGAGCGAACAGG
rnacentral:rRNA from 1 species